GAUCCUGCACUCAUCAUUUGAAUGACCCUGGUCAUGUACCCAGCCUUGUUGGGUUUGAGAUCCCCCAUCUGUAAAACAGGCCUAAUGACAUCCAUGCCAUAGCAUUGUGGAGAGGGUAAAAUAAGACAGGGCAUAUUAAGGGUUCUGCAGAGUACCUGGUGCAUAGCAAAGCUGACAGGCAGCUCUUUGACUUGUACCUACUCUUUUCAAGUGAAGAGGCUUGUGUCCGGGCAGGGAAAUUGGGCAGACAUCUCUCCUAUGAGCCAGGACCUUCCCACUGAGAUCUGUCCAUUCUUCCUGGAAGGAGAAGCAGGCCAAUGAAAGAUGGGCCAGCAUACAGAGAAUCCCAGAAAAGACCCCCUUCCUCAGACCUGACGUUGCACAUAUGUGACGCAAGUACUCGAGCAUUUGCCCCUUUAAACACCACUUUCAAACCGUGAAAUCAGAAAAAGGAGAAACACUCUGGCUGCACCUCAGGCAAGCUUUAUUCCCCAUAACUCCUCACGGUAUUGGGACCUUUGGGGUUUUUUCCCAUUUGCGUCCCCAUCCUACCCCAGGAAAGUUCUGCCUUCCAGAAAAGAGUUCGGUAAGAGAAGGAGUGUGGGUGCAAGGAAGUGGCCAAAUCUCAGCUCUGCUACUUAAUCCCAAGGUGAGCCUUGGAGAGCGGGUGUAUCUCUGAACACCAAAUUCCCUUCUGCAAAACGAUGAUAACAGCCCCUGUCUCGUGGUAGAUAGUUUCUGGAUGGCCUAGCACAGCUGUUUUGAAUCCUUCGUAGUUCACGCAUGUGUCCUAGACAUGACUUAUCUUCAGGAGGCCUGGAUCAAAUGUUCGGUGUCUUUUCAGGCUCUGUGCCCAUUCCUCCUUCCAUCUAAUCAUCACCAUCCCCACCUUCAGUCAGACCUGCUCACACACGCCAGACACAGGAAAUCCUUUACACGCUCCUGCUCACACAAUCACAUCACAGACCCUAUUAUAAUAGUAGGCACUAUUAUUCAUACUUAAUCACAGUCACCCCUCCGAUGCUGUUGGGCAGAGGAAGAUUCCGAGGCUUGGAAGGGUUAGGCAAUUCUUCCCAGGGUCACACAGCUAGUGAGAACUGGGGGAGAUUGCAAACAAGGAGGUCUGCUCUCAAGGACACACUCUACUGUAUUGAGCCUUCCUGAUUUUCCUGGGUCCACUUCAAACCAAGUCUUAAAUGUCUCCUGGCAUAAAUUCAGUUUUUGCCCUAACUUUAAAGAUAUGUAUUUUAAAGAUAAACCAGUUGUAAAUAUUUACAGAUGCACCUUGUCACCUUGCUGGCAUGAGUGCUUAAGUAUCUUUGCUCUGGGCAAAGUGGCUGAGUCUUGAUGAAUUUACUCGAGAGACCAGAGAGCCUACAGAUUUCUGUAUCUUUUCCUCCUUCGGAAGCCAGUUUUGCUAGGGGCACUUGAGAGAGAGCCAGUGCCUCCCUGGGAAAUCCAUGUUCCCCCUCUGAGGCCCUUCGAUUCUCAUUAUAACUCAGAUACCUCAGUGUCUUUCCUUCCUUUGAGAGAAAAAGGCUUGGGGAACACAAUUUGUCUCUGGGUUUUAGAUGCUCCAAAGAAACAAAGCCACACACUCUCCUUCUCAGAGAGUAGGGGAUAAAAGCAAGCAUGUGUGCAGAGGAGAAUGAAAAAUGCCUGUUACUUUCGGCAGGCUGGAGAAUGAUGUAUGUUCCAUGGGGUAACCUGCUACCUUGGAAUUAGUCAUUCCACGUCGUGUUCUCUCUGCUGCUUGAAGUGCCUCAUUUCAAAAAUGUUAGGGUUUUUUUUUCCUUCUCACUUAACUGUAGGAACAUUAAAUGCACAACUUUAUCAAAAUGACAUAAGAUAUAUGUUUCUGCCAACAGCAACAGGAGAGGAUUAACAAUUCAAAUAGGAAUGGGGAAAAGUUCCUCUGAAAAGAUGGGAGGAAGAAAGUUUGACUGGGGAUCCUGCUUCUUCCUCAGCCUAAAGCAUAUUAUUACACAGUCAGGGUCCUUGAGGCCCUGGUGGAAGAAAAAGUUUUAUGGUAUAAGGGAAAAAAAUUGAUUUUGUAUUAUUUGGUUCUGUCUCCUUGAGAUCAAGACUAGCUGGAACAUACCUGUGGAGUGUACAACGGUACACAGACACCACAAGAAUAAUCCUUACUUGCCUCGUGGAGGAUGCCUGAAUUUGUUCAGGGCUCACAGUUCCAACCAUCAUCAGAUCUUCACAGCCUAACCCAAUAAUGAGCCAGAAAACGAGGCUUCACCAGAAGUAGGGCAAGGGCGGAGGGAGGUGUGAGCCCAUAGAAAGGUGAGGAGGUAGGAGAGAAAAGAGUUGCUUUGUGAGGUUUGUGGUGGCACACCAGAAACAUACCUAUAGAUAUAGGCAUAGAGAUGGCACCUGCAGGCACAGAGAUGGCACCUGGCCUCCUGCACGUUUGGCUGAUAACAGAAGGUGUUCAGUAGAUCCAGCUAGAGAAUUUUUCAGGAAGAGGGUUGUUAGGAUCCUGGAUGAAGCACUAGAAUUGUCUGGUUCUUUUAAGGGAGAGCGUAUUAUUUUGCGAAACCUCGAUACGGUUUUAGCCGGACAGAAACAUGAAUCUUGUGACUUAAUCUCAAAAUCCUUUUCUGAUAUGUGAUUUACACAUACCCGUACAUUAUCUAUGACUCUCUGCUGCCUACCCCCUUCUUAACCAGGAGUGCUUUUGAUCUUGGUUUUUCCGAGCUUCAUCCAACCCACCCCAUCUCGUCUUCCAUUGCCACAGGGCACGAGAUGGUAGCUAAGGCGUUGAUACUGACGAGACUCAUGGGGUGAGCUCCAGAGAGUCUUCUUAAAGACUGUGAGGAAAAGGCUCCUUAGGAGAAGAGGACGAAACUCAUGCACUUUACGGAGUAAGACAUUUUGGGGAUUUUGGAGAAGAGGUAAUUUUGCAUACAGUCUGCUGAUGACCACUUGGAUUUGCCCUCCCCUUGUGGAAUCACAGGACAGGACCAUCUCCCACUUGCUCCAUGGACCACAGUCCUGCUCUUUCUCGAAUUUAUGGCCUUUGGGCUCACGGCUGCUUCUUUCGUGGCGCCUCUUACUCUAAGAUUUCAUGAGUAGUUGCUUCUUGAGAUCCAGGGCUGGGCUCAAGGGUCGACUCUGAGAAAGGACUCCCUUCAUCAUACUGUGUAGAAUUCAUUUCCACCCCCCCAUCACAUUCAUCUUGUUUGUGGUCUUCACUACUUUCCAAAAUGACUGUGUUUAUUUGUGUACCUGACUAUCAUAUGUUUCUCCCCACUUGAAUGCCAGCUCUGUGCGACCAGGAAAAUUGUUCAUUGCUAUACCCUCAACACCCAGAAAGGUGCCAGCUGCCUGGUAGGAACAGAGUAAGUAUACAUUGCGUUAAUGAAUAAAACCAGAGUCUUGUGGUUAAACAACCUAAAAAUCAAUGCUGUAGGGGACACUAAAUUUUCACCUGUCUUAACGUGGCUUCUCCCAAAAGCAGAGACUGGGAAAAGACCUGUGCACAGGUUGUUUAUUUAGGAAUGUGAUUCUAGGAAGCAGACCUGAGAGACAGGGGAAGGAGACCAGAAAAGGCCAUUAAAAACAUUGUAAAUUAACUAUAAUUACAAAAAUUAAAAAAAGAAAAUUAGGAUGCCUGUCGGGCUCAGUAGAAAUGAAUCUGACUAGUAUCCAUGAGGGUGCAGGUUCCAUCCCUGGCCUCACUCAGUGGGUUAAGGAUCCAGUGCUGCUGUGAGCUGUGGUGUAGGUCGCAGACAUGGCUUGGAUCUGACAUUGCUGUGGCUGUGGUGUAGGCCGGUGGUACAGCUCCGAUUGGACCCCAGCCUGGGACCCUCCAUAUGCUGUGGGUGUGGCCCUAAAAAGACCAAAAAAAAAAGAAAAUUAUACACCACUAAUAUUGAAUUUUAGCACAUAUUUUAAAUAAAUAACUUAUUGUAUUUUACGAUACUUGACAUUGGGAGGAAAAUGCUUGUUUUUGAAAUGAAAUACUGACAAAAAACAUUGAAAAAAGUAUGCAAUUGAUUUGGCGGCUGCUCGUCAACCAGCUCAUUGAUUCUGAGAGCUGCUGAGGAGUGUGACGACAGCACUCCUCCCAGCUGUUCAUCCGAGAGAGGAAAGUGGUGCAGGGGCACGUCAGCCGCCACCAGCCGUCCUGUGGGGCAUGAACUCUUCUGCAGUCCCGGAUGCUACAGGGGCGAGUGCCCUGUGGUUCCCAGAGGGAUGCUCAGAUUGCAAAAUACUGACUGAAGCGAAGGACUGUCAGGUUACACACCUCGAAACUGGCUGAAGCCAGCAUAGAACUGGUUAAUGCACACAUGACUGGGAAGAAAAAAAAAUGGUGGGGCCAAGGGGCUUUAAUUAUUGCACAGGAGAAGCCCAAGGGGCAUUUCAAACUGUAGCCCAUUUAAGAAGUACAUGGUUCAUUAAAUGUCUUAUUUUACCAAUCAUCACCUCGCAGCUUUAUUCUUCCCCAGACUGAUGGAUGAAGCAUGAUGUAUCUUUCGAGUUAAUUUUCCAGAACUCACAUCCCCACCACACCUCCAUUUGGUGAUUCUGAGCUCAUCCUUCUGUGGCUCUUGCAGGAUAGGGAAAUGCAGUUCCCUCUUUUCUGAUCAUGUUGGCGGCUGGCAAGAAUGGCUCAUGUUCUGGACUCACUCUUUCUGGGCACCUGUGGCAGAUACUAGAACCAGGCUUGUGAUUUCCUAAAGGCUCUUAAAAGGGCACAAAUAGGCCUCUUUGUCUCCUUCUUUCCCAUCUUUGCUCCCUGGUCCCUGCUGAGCUUUGUGGGUGGCCAGUUAGUUACCGGAAAAUGAUGCAUUCUGCAGAGAUAUUUGCCAGAGUAUAGUCAAAAGAUACGAAUUCUACAAUCUGGAGGGAAAUGGUGAGGAUGCAAAAUGCAAUAUAUCUUGACACUGAAGCUUACUGAGCAAAGUCUUUUUUUUUUUUUUUUUCUUCUUUCCCCACCCUGGCUAUCUCCAUGAUAAAUGAAAUUAUUUCUUCUUGCUGGUCCCACAGUGGACAAUGCGAUAACCAUUUCUUGACAGCCAUUUCUUUUGGUG
rnacentral:lncRNA from 1 species